rnacentral:miRNA from 1 species
GCCACCACCACCCACUGUAGAG